rnacentral:tRNA from 1 species
GAGGGUAUAGCUUAGUGGUAGAGUGUGUGCUUAGCAUGCACGAGGUCCUGGGAUUAAUCCCUAGUACUGCCA